rnacentral:ncRNA from 13 species
GUUUUGUUUAAUGGAUAAAACGCUCGUCUUCUAAACGAGAGAUUACUGGUUCGACUCCUUUCA